GCCUCCGAAAGUGCUGGGAUUACAGGCUGAGCCACUGCGCAUGUGUAUCACAGAGCCGUGUAUCAGUAUUUUUAAGUUAGUCCGUCAAAAACAACCUUGAUUUGCACGAGACACAUGUUAAAGAGAUUUUGUGAUUGUCCUUUCUCCCUUGCUUUCCUCGUCUGGCUCCUGGCUGCCCCUUGGGCCGGCGCCUCUCGCUCGCUCUAUUCCUUCUCCCCGCGGCUGCCUCGUGCCGGCCGCACCUUCUCGCCGCGGACCGGAGCCGGGGCAGGAGCCGGGGCAGGAACCCGGGCAGAAGCCGGGGCAGGAACCAGGACAGGAAGCGGGGCAGGAACCAGGACAGGAAGCAGGGCAGGAGCCCCGCAGGAGCCAGGUGUCUGAGCCCCGCCCCGCCGCGGGGGAGAGGCCUCCGGGAGCCGGGGCCGCCCAGAGCCGCAGCCGCCGCGCAGGCAGGGCCGGGCCGGGCCGGGUGCGCGGGCACAAAGGGGCCGCUGCACAUGGCAGGCAGGCGAGCAGAUGCCAGCAGACAGCUUUUGUCGUCCAGUCUCCCAGUCAUCCGCCUGACCUGCUCCUGUCUGAACAUCCUACCGCGAGUCAAGGCAAAUGGGCUCAGCCGCUGUUCCACUCCACCCAGGCUUGGAGUGGACUCCCCGUGAGCCUGCAGAGGGGCAGGAUGCUGAGUAGCAGGCCAUGCGGGUGCGCCCGGGGUCUCACCCCAGCCCCAGGGAAGAGGCUGUUUCAUUCAGUGAACCAAGAGGUCUGCCACAAAUGUAUGCAGAGGCCCAGGAGGAGCCAAGACUGAAAACCGGAGGGCCUAAGUCAGCGUUUCUCAGGAUGUGAUGUGCAGAGACCUCAAUCUGAAUUAUCCUGCAGACCACCUUGGUCCCACCCAGCCCACUGAAUCCAAACCUUUGGGGGUGGGCCCUAGAAUCUGCUCUUCCAACAGGACAAACACCCCCUUUCCACUGCACUGUAAAGUCUGGGGCUCACCAGCCACAGACCUGACUAUAGCUCAAAUGCUGUGUGUCUUUAUCUCCUGUGCACUAGGGAAAGAACCAGGAGAGGACAGCAUAGGGGGAAGCCCAGGUCAUCCUGUGACCUCCCCACCUCUGCCGGAGUGACCCCUUCCUCUGGUUCAAAAUCUCCAACAACAGGGUGCAGACAUGACCUAGACCACCGUGUGUGGUGAGAUUACUUGAGGACCUGAGGUAGAACGCUUUCAGGAUGGAAACGUCUCAAGACUUGGAGUCAGACCCAUUUAGGUUCAACGAGUGGUUCUGCCACUCAGUAGCACUGAGCACACGUAGAGUCCAGAUCUUGGUUUCCAAUCAAAGGAAUCAGGGCUCCUUGGAAAGAUGGCUGAUUCUAAGGCUGGGGCAGGAAACAUGCAAGAUGAGCCUGGAGCUUCUCGUAGUGACAGGAAGUAAGGAAGCACUCAAGUGUCCCCCCCACCCCCACACACCCCCACCAUUGGUGGAGCUAUGUCAGAGGGGCGCAGAGACAACUGCAAGGCUUCUAAUGGCCAAUGCUGGAACAAUGACAGCAAGGAAUAAAUAAAGUGAUAUUUAAUUAUAACCCAAAGCAUACUACAGCUGUUCAUGAUCCCAUACUGACAUAAAUAAAUUGUUGAAUAAAUUAAUAAAUGGAGAAGAAACAAACCUUCCAGGCAGAAGAAUUCCAAAUAAUGUAUGUAGAUGCUGCACACUGAGAGAGAUAAAGCAUAGCUCCCCACUCCUAAGUGUGGGCUACACAUAGUCACUUUCUGCUCAAGAGUACAGGAUGGAAAAAAGGAAAAAAAGAGUAACAUUCCAAUCACCUGCACCAUUCAGGUGAUCGAGGUCCUCAUCAACAGUCAUAAAUGGGCCAGGCACAGUGGCUCAUGCCUGUCAUCCCAGCACUUUGGGAGGCCGAGGCAAGCAGCCCACUUGAGGCCAGGAGUUCGAGACUAGCCUGGCCAACAUAGUGAAACCCCGUCUCUACUAAAAAUUAAAAAAUUAGCCCCGAGUGGUGGCACACACCUAUAAUUAAAGCUACUUGGGAGACUGAGGCAGGUUCAAGACUCGCUUGAACCUGGGAGGCAGAGAUUUCAAUGAGCCAAGUUCGUGCCACUGCACUCCAACCUGGGUGACAGAGUGGAGACUCCAUCUCAAAAAAAGAAAAAAAAAACAUAAUUCAUGUUGCUAGAGUGUCCCCUUGAUAUGGCACUUUCAUUCUGUGACCUUCCUCCCCAAAAUCUAUAACCCGUGUCCAGUCAUGUAAAAAUCAUCAAACAAAUUCCAGGAGAGGAGCAUCCUACAAUACACCUCCCUAGCACUCCUCAAAACUGUCAAGGUCAUCAGAAAAAAGGAAAGUCUGUCACGGGGUGUCCAAUCUUUUGGCUUCCCUGGGCCACACUGGAAGAAGAUGAAUUGUCUUGGGCCACACAUAAAAUAUGCUAACACUCAGGAUAGCUGGUGAGCUAAAAAAUAAAAAAGGUCCGUGCAUCAAUCUCAUAAUGUUUUAAGAGAGUUUACGAAUUUGUGUUGGGCCACAUUCCAAGCUGUCUUGGGCCACAUGUGGCCCAUGGGCAGAGGAUUGGACAGGCUUGGUCCGUCACAAUCAAUAGGAACCCAAAGAGACAGAACAACUAAAUGUCCUGUGGUAUCCUGGAUGGGGUCCUGGAACAGAAAAGAGAUACUAGGUUUAAAAAAAAAACUAAGAGAAUCAGAAUAAACGAUGGACUUUGGUUGCUAAUAAUAUAUCAAUAUUGGCUUAUUAAUUGUAACAAAUGUACCAUACAAUGUAAGGUGUUUAUAACAGGGAAGCAAGAUGGUGGGGCUGGGCUGGGAACUCUAUCUGCUCGAUUCUUCUGAAAUAAAGAACUGCUCUGAAAAAUAUCAUAA
rnacentral:lncRNA from 10 species